UGUCGUGCAAGUUCCUACUGGGCCUCCACAGCAGGAUAUGUGGCUUGCACUUCAUCCUGAUCUGAAAUCAAAGCCCCUGUCUUAUGAUUCAAUAUUAAAUGGUGUGGAAAUUUUCAAGCUAAGCAGUCCAAAUGGUAAUCUUGCUGGACCAAAUCCAAUUCCUGCUCCUGAACAGGACAUCAAUCCCUCAAGGGCCAGACCAGCUUCUGGAUCUGGUCAUUCAAAGAGCCGAACAGCGAUUAUAGCUGGAGGUGUGAGUGGUGGGGUUGUUCUAGCCGUUGUCAUUGGUUUUUGUGUUCUUGCUGCAUCCAGACGCCAUAGACAAGGGAAGGAGGCAAGUUCAAGUGAUGGACCAUCUGGGUGGCUUCCUUUUUCUCUUCAUGGAAAUUCGAACUCUGCGGGUUCAGCCAAGACAAAUACUACAGUAAGUUCCUCUCUACAUUCAAACCUUUGCCGGCACUUCUCACUCGCUGAGAUCAAGUCUGCCACCACCAACUUUGAUGAGGCUUUGCUCCUUGGGGUGGGAGGUUUUGGUAAAGUUUACAAAGGAGAAGUUGAUGGUGGAACAACUAAGGUUGCAAUCAAGCGUGGUAAUCCACUCUCUGAGCAAGGAGUGCAUGAGUUCCAGACAGAAAUUGAAAUGCUUUCAAAACUUCGACAUCGUCACCUUGUUUCACUGAUUGGUUACUGUGAAGAAAAUACUGAGAUGAUUCUUGUUUAUGAUUACAUGGCUCAUGGAACAUUGCGUGAACAUUUAUACAAAACCCAAAAGCCCCCGUUGCCAUGGAAGCAAAGACUUGAAAUAUGCAUUGGGGCUGCUCGUGGUUUACACUAUCUCCACACUGGGGCAAAGCACACUAUUAUCCACCGUGAUGUUAAGACAACUAACAUUCUUUUGGAUGAGAAGUGGGUUGCCAAGGUCUCUGAUUUUGGGCUGUCAAAGACAGGCCCUGCUUUGGAUCACACUCAUGUCAGCACUGUUGUCAAAGGUAGUUUUGGCUAUCUGGAUCCAGAGUACUUCAGGAGGCAACAACUAACUGAAAAAUCCGACGUGUACUCAUUUGGAGUUGUGCUGUUUGAGAUCCUGUGUGCUCGACCAGCCUUGAACCCAACACUGCCUAAGGAACAGGUGAGCCUGGCAGAAUGGGCUGCUCAUUGCCAUAAGAAAGGCAUUCUUGAUCAGAUUCUUGACCCCUAUCUGAAGGGCAAGAUCACACCAGAAUGCUUCAAGAAGUUUGCUGAGACUGCAAUGAAGUGCGUCUCUGACCAAAGCAUUGACAGGCCUUCAAUGGGUGAUGUCCUCUGGAACCUAGAGUUCGCUUUGCAGCUACAAGAGAGUGCAGAGGAUGGUGGCAAGGGUAUUGUAGGUGCAGACGAUGAGGAGGUUCCAUCCAAUGUUGCCUAUAAAGGGAAAGCUCCUGAUGCUUCCCCCGGUUAUGAUGGUAUUGUGACUGAUUCAAGAAGCAGUGGAAUCAGCAUGAGCAUAGGCGGCCGGAGCCUCGCUAGCGAAGACUCUAUGGCUUAACACCAAGCGCUGUUAGCCAAACAAUGUUUUCUCGCAGAUCAUGAACCCAAAAGGACGAUGAGCUGAUCAAAAAUCCAGGAAGGCAGUUUGCAAUCUACUGUCAAUCGUCAAGUGUGUUUGGCAUUGCGGUAGCUAUUAUGGUUAUGAUUUAAAAAAAAUUGUUUUAUAAAAAGUAUUUUUAGUUGAGAUUAGUUUGAAAAUGGUUAGAAUUGAGGUUGAAGAAAAAUAAUUUUAAUGUGUUUGAUUAUGAAUGCUUUUGAAAUUGAGAUUAUAAAAUAAUUUUAAAAAAUAUAUAUUAAUAUUGAUAGUUUUUAAUUUAAAUUUUAUGGAUUUAACUAUUACUAUUACAUCAUGAAAUAAAUCACAUUUAAAAAAUUACUUUAACAAAAAACUAUCUACAAUUCCAUUACGUAUAAAAUUCACAAGAACUAUAAAAUUAGAUAAAAUAUUAUCAAGAAUAAAAUUAAGAUUACACUACGAGUAAAUUUAAUUUACCUUAAACUAAUUUAAAAAAAACAAAAAAAAUUUUAUUGUUCACGUAGUGAAAUUAAUUAACUAUAUUGGUAAUAAAUAAAUAAAAACUUGUUCAGCGAACAGUGGAGGCAUGCUCCACUGUUCACUGAACAGUCCAUACCUGCACUGUUUUUUUUUUAAAAAAAAAAAAUGUUUAGUGAACAAUGGAGGCAUGCUCCACUGUUCACUGAACAGUGGAGCUGCCAUGCAAAAAGCAGCAAUUUGUUGCUUUUCAUUUUCCUGCGGCGAGAACACAAUAAAUGGAGGGACUCACGCACAGUAAAUAACUUUUUUUAUUUAACCAAACACUGAGGUAGUGUGUUUGUGAAGAAACGCAACUUCUACCUCGUAGCCAAAUGGGGCUCAUUUAACAAACUUAAUGUGGCUUUUUUUUUCUUUAGUUUUCUCUUGUCUAAUUCAUUUAGUUACCUUUUCCCCUCGUUCUGAUAUGUUUUGAUCAGAUCAGUUACUAUAAUUUGUAUCUACAAUUUACCUGAAGAGUGUAAAAUAAAGUUUUCUUUGUCAAUGCUGUGCAGCGAGUACCUACCAGGAGUCUGCAUAUAUGUGCACAGAAGCAAAAUCAACACCAAGAACCUGAUGGUUCCUGAUAAAGUCGGUUCCAACUUGCGUAGCAUAUGAGUUUGGAUUGAACUGAGCCCUAUCAGGAGCCGAUGGUCCAUAAAAUCCCUCCAAUCCAAUCUCUAGAGGGAUCUGAGGUGCAUCGAGGUUCAUUCAUCAGCUCCCAAGCAAAUAUUGUAGGGUCAUCCUUGUAGGUUAUGUUCGUGAUCGUAUUGACUCUAUUCAAUACCGCCUGCAUUCAGUGAAUACAGAAACUGUAAGUAGCCUGGCAACCUUUGAUUGUCCAAACACAUAACCUGUCUGAUUUAUCAACUAUCAUAUGCUUUUUGUUUCUGUCCUGUUUUUGGGUCAAAUUAACAUAUUUGUGCUCCUUUGCAGUCUCAAAGUUCCCAUUAACAACUGGAGAAAACCAUCUUAACUUUGAAGUAGCAAAAGGUAGCUCCCAAGGAAUCUUAGGUCCUGCUUUAAUCAUAACAACGUAUUUGAUAUCAUUAUGUAUCCUGGUAUGCCUUCAAGAGUUUAUAUUUUGCAUCAUUUUGCUUUGGUUUUAUUGAAUCAAAAACCUAAUAUUGGAUUAAUCAAACUUGAAAUUCAAAAUUUUCAUGGAAGAUAUGAGCUGAAUUCAGCCAUCAGAAGCUUAGAUUUCGAUCCCUUGUUUUUUUAUAAUUAAAAAAAAAAGUCUACCAUGCAAAAUAUUGUAUCUUAGCCCAGUUUUUUUUUUCUUUUUAGAACUAUUUUUGUUGGCCCAUUAUGAAGCACUCAUCUUGCAUGGCUCUGGUUUUUUUUCUAUUUCUAUCUGGGCCUUGCUAGAAUUGUCACCCAAAAGUUCAGGAUUUUUAUUAUUUUUCUUGUUCUUAUCAAAUUAAUGCACCCCUGUACUACCACUUGAAGGUUGAUUUAAUCAAAUUCCAUUGACUAGUUGAUGGAGUCAAAUCCAAGUGAUAAAUGUUGAGUAAUUUUUAAAUAAAAAACCAUAUAAUUUUAAAGUUGACCUAAUAAAACAAUUACCCAAACCUUAAAUGGGACUUAUUAUUGAGACUCGUGCGCACCUGUGCUCUGCCCAUUAUUAACAAUAUCAAUUAACAUGAAAUAUAGGUACUAGGGAGAGGGUUUUUCACGGUAACAAUUGGUAUAAUUUACUGUGGAUUCCUAUAAUGAGAUUACAAUUUUAUCAUUGAGUGGAGAAAAUGGAAGGCUUUAUAAUAAAGGUAGUUUGGUCUUCAUUUGGUCUUCAAAACUAUUGACAAAGGUUUUCGCUCAUAUGUUUUUUUCUUUUAAUUCGGUCUUUAUUCUUUAAUUUUUAAUUUUUUUUUUGUUUUUUUUGUUAAAAUUCUGUUAAUUUUCAAUUUCAUUCUUCAUUCAAAGUAUAUGUUGUCUUAUUUUUUAUAAUUUGAUUGUUUUUUUUCUUGUGUUAAAGUUAUUUUUCAAUUUCAUUUAACCCUCCAAUUAAAAUUUUUUGUUUGCCCUCAAAUUUAUUUUUUAUUUUGAUUUUUAUCAUUAUUCUUUUAAUUAUAAUUUUUUUAGAUCCUUUUGUGUAUUUGAUUUUUUUUUCUUCUUAUUUUAUCAUUCAACAUUUGAUUUGUUAGAGAUUAUGCUUUAUAUUGUUUUUCAUUUCUAAUGCUUCUGGUUUAAUGACCCGAGUCAAAUUUAAAAAUAUAAUGUCGUUUGAUAUUUUUUCUAGAUCAUUUUCUUUUAUUAUCUUAUCAUUUUACAUUAUUUUAAUUGAUUUUGUGAUUAUCUUAAAAAAAGUUUUAUAAAUUUAUCCCGGUCUCAUGAUCUAGAUCACUAAUUUUGCAGGCUUUUUUUCAAUACAAGUUUUUUUAAAAAAUAUUUUGUUUGUAUUUGAAUUUUUAAGAUAUUAUUCUAAUUUAGCUAUAAUUAUUUUUUUGUUUAUAAAAAUGAACUUUUUUUCAAAAUAAAAAAUAUUUAUUUUUAAAUAAAAUUUCUGAUAUGUUUGGCCUUGUGUAAUAUAUUUUUUAGGGUAUGGGUUUAUUUAAUUAGUUUUAUUUUUGUUUUUAUUUCUAUUAUCAUUUAUUGAUUUAAAUAAAUAAGUCUCACAAACACAACCAAGUAAAUAUCUUAUUUUAUAUAAUUAAAUAUCUUAAUUUACAUUUAUUUUUUAAAAAAUUCAAUUUAUUUUUUAGUUAUCGUUAACUAUUUGUUUUUUUACUUUAAUAAGAUGCAUACAUAUGCAUUUUGAUAUAUGCUUUGAUUUUUUAUAUAUAAUAAAAUAUACUAAAAUAGUCUAUAUACCUGAUUUUUUUUUAAAUAAAAUUUAUACCCCGCAGAUCACGGGUUAAAUAGCUAGUCAAGGAUUAAAGUUAAUUUGCUGAGUGCUAUUUGCUCAAGUUGUACAUCAAUUUUAUUUUUAUUUUUUCCUUUGGCAGGCCCAUGAUUAAUAGAAACUUAGCCAAUUUGUUCAAUAUUUUACAUAUAGCGUACAAAAAAAAUAAAAAAAGGUCAUUAGUCAAUAUUACUUACACUACAAGUUAAAAAUAAAUAUAUAAAUAAUCAUAAAAGUUGAAAACCACUUUCACCUACUAUUUAUCAUCAUAUGCACAAUAAAUAAAUAAAUAAAAACUUUUCGUGGUUCCUAUCAAUUGCAAGAGGGUGUAGCACUCAUGGAUGAUGACGACUGGCUUGCAUGUCUAAGAGGAUAUUUAGAAGUGUGGUUAUUGUUACUUUUUAAAUUGUUUUUUAUUUAGAAAAGCAUAUUAAUAAUAUUUUUUUAUUUUUAAAAAUUAUUUUUGAGAUCAGUACAUCAAAAUAAUUUGAAAAUAUCAAAAAUAUAUUAAUUUAAAACAAAAUAAAAAUAAAAAAAUUUCAAAUUUUUUCAGAAACGCUUUUGAAAAGCACUCCAAACAGGCUCUAAAAAGAUUGAAUUUUCAUUUUCCUACAUUCAUGCAGUUUUUCCAAGUGUAUUUAAUAUUGUGUUGUUUUUUUAUUAUGGUUUUAAAAAAUAAAUUUUAAAAAAUUAUAAAUUAUAAUAUUUUUUAUAGUUAAGGUUUUAAAAAGAAGUUUUAAAUAUAAUGUACAUAUGAAUUUAAGUGUGUAUUAAUUAACAAAACACUUUCAAAAUUAUGAUUUAAACAAGAUUUAAUUUUAACCACACUUCACCAUAUUAUUAAAUAAUUUUAUAUCGGCAGAUAUUAAUAGUAAUAUUAAUCUAUUAAAAUUUAUUUAUAUAUAAAAAAACAGGGUUUAAUGCAUUGAAUUUUAUUCAAGAUUCUAAAAAAAAAAUGCCAAACAACUAAUCAUCCAUAGAAAAAUGAUAAAGGAGCAAAUAAUUCAUCACAGCUUGGUGGGGGGAGGGCCUCGAAAGACCAAACGCGUUAAAACGGUCUGAUUUGAACGCGUUUUAGAGAAUCUCUCCCUCUGCUACGACCCCUUCAUCAGUGAUCUGUCAUCCAAUCACAAUUUCAUUUUAAACCGUAAAUGGCAAAUACUGUAAUUACUACCGCCUCCAAGGUUAUUUACGUCGUUUUAUCUAAACAGGCUAGCACUAAGGGAAACUACAAAAACAAUAAAUAAAACAUGAGGAGACUUCGGUCCCCUAACUAUCUACGUAUUUUCAAUUUAGUUCUCAAACAAAACAUUUUUACGAUCUCCCACCCCACUUCUCUGAUAUCCCAAAUCAAAUUCCCUCUCCUAUCAUAUUAUUAAACCGACCCGUCAAACUAAUAACUCACUAGAUUAUCAAUUUAAAUAGUGGAUUAUUAAUAUUGUAAUAUAGAUAUAUUGUGUGGUAUUAAGCCUAAAAUUAAAAAUAACAAAGUGGUAGGUGUUUAAUUUUUGAAGGAGUUAUCAAAUUUUAAAAUAUUUUAUCUCAAAUUUAAAUUUUAUUUUUUUGAAUUUUGUUUUUUACAUGAUGGACUCAACAAACUAGGUUUAAUUAGUUUAACCGGUUUUAUUAAAUCCUAUGAAUUUAUUAUUUUUGAUAGUUAGAACUUAAGCUUUUAAAUUAGGUCUUGCCCACCCUACUAAGAAAAGUUUAAUUAGAAACUAAAUUGUUAAUUAGUUAAUAGUACGAGGACUAAUUUGAAGUUACAACAAAAAUCCAUUAAGAAGUUAUUACAUCAUAAUCAUAUGAAGAAACCCCCCACAAAACUAGCAAGCGACUUCAAAAAAAUCAAUUAACUGGCAAGUGGCAGCUACUAAAAGCCAACACAAGUUGGUCUCUUUCUUCUAGUUUCUUCACCUUCAUAUUCAGGCGAUCUGUCCGAAUUGACCCAGUGAGUCCGUUUCUCUUUCAGGUUCUUUUCAGCUGAGUGUUUCUAAGAAGGUAAACUUUCACCUUCACCGACUCUAAUCUCCGUUGUUUUGUUCCCCUAGAGCUCAAGAAAUAUGGCUUGAGUUCUCUUUCUUUCUCUCUCUUGGAGUCCUUUAUUAGUAGUGCUUCCUUUCCUUAAAUGUCUUUGGGAUUCCAGUGCUGGGAUCUUAGCUUCUUGUAAUCUGGUUUUUAUCUAGUUUUUCUUGUUUAGGAACUCGGUUUUUGGUGUUUGUUUAGCUAGUCCUUGAUCUGGUCACAUAAAGGUUUGAGCUUGAUUUGAGUGCUUAAUCACCUAGAUCUCGGCUUUAUUUAUCCUUGUCAAGCUUCAGUUUUGAGCUUGCUUUGUUUCUGUUUUGGGUGUUGAUUUCGUGGGUUCUGAUAAAAAGAGACUUUAUAGGCUGUUUUGUUGAGGUUGAGUCCAUGGGAAGCAUGGAUAAGUGUUUCUGUGCUUCUGUUCUUGUUCUUCUUUGCUUGUUAUCGUCAAUUCAAGUUAUUUUUGCUGCAAAUUAUGUUCCCACUGAGAAAACCCUCCUAGACUGUGGGGCCAACUCCGAUGAAACUGAUUUGGAUCGUCGAGUUUGGACCUCAGAUGAGGGUUCUUCAUUCUUGUCUUCCUCUGGAAAAUCAUCCACAGCCACUGCUUCCACUCAAGAUCCUGCCGUUCCCCCAGUUCCCUAUCUAACAGCGCGCAUUUUUCAGUCAAGUUUUACUUAUAGUUUCCCAGUGGUUUCUGGUCAUAAAUUCGUUCGUUUGUAUUUCUAUCCUUCUUCAUACAAUGGCCUUAAUGCGUCCGAUGCUCUCUUUUCUGUUACUGCUGGGUCUUAUACACUUCUUAGCAAUUUUAGUGUUGCUCAAACCACGGAUGCUUUGAAUUAUGUUUCAAUCAUGAAGGAGUAUUUGAUCAAUGUGAAUGGUGAUACAUUGAACAUAACUUUUAGUCCGUCUUCAAAUCCUUCAAGUGCUUAUGCAUUUGUAAACGGGAUUGAAAUUGUGUCAAUGCCGGACAUUUAUAGUAAUGCUAAUGGAGUGAUGAAUGUCGGCCAAGGUGUCAGCCAAGGUGUCCCAUAUGUCAUUGACAAUACUACUGCCCUUGAGAAUGUAUAUAGGUUAAACGUGGGAGGUAAUAGCAUCACCCCAUCUGGUGAUACAGGUCUAUUUCGAUCCUGGUCUGAUGAUCAAAUAUAUCUUUAUGGGUCAGCAUUUGGUGUUCCACAGAGUGCUGAUCCAAAUCUGACGAUUAGAUAUCCUCCAGGAAUGCCCUCAUAUGUUGCCCCAGAUAAUGUGUAUCUCACUGCUAGAUCGAUGGGGCCAGCUUCUAAUGUCAACGUGAAUUACAAUUUGACUUGGAUAUUUAGCGUGGACUCUGGUUUCAAUUACUUGGUUAGGCUCCAUUUCUGUGAGGUUUCAAAUAUAACCAAGAUCAAUCAGAGGGUAUUUGACAUCUUUCUCAAUAAUCAAACUGCUGAAGAAGCAGCGGAUGUCAUUGCCUGGGCAGGGGGGAAUGGGAACAAUGGAGUUCCAGUUUUUAAAGAUUAUGUCGUGCUAGUUCCUACUGGGCCUCCACAGCAGGAUAUGUGGCUUGCACUUCAUCCUGAUCUGAAAUCAAAGCCCCAGUAUUAUGAUUCAAUAUUAAAUGGUGUGGAAAUUUUCAAGCUAAGCAGUCCAAAUGGUAACCUUGCUGGACCAAAUCCAAUUCCUGCUCCUGAACAGGACAUCAUUGAUCCCUCAAGGGCCAGACCAGCUUCUGGAUCUGGUCAUUCAAAGAGCCGAACAGCGAUUAUAGCUGGAGGUGUGAGUGGCGGGGUUGUUCU
rnacentral:lncRNA from 1 species